rnacentral:rRNA from 1 species
GACGAACGCUGGCGGCGUGCCUAAUACAUGCAAGUCGAGCGAAUCAAAAGGUGCUUGCACCUUUUGGUUAGCGGCGGACGGGUGAGUAACACGUGGGCAACCUGCCUGUAGGACUGGGAUAACUUCGGGAAACCGGAGCUAAUACCGGAUAAUUCCUUCCCUCUCAUGAGGGAAGGCUGAAAGACGGCGUAAGCUGUCACUUACAGAUGGGCCCGCGGCGCAUUAGCUAGUUGGUGAGGUAACGGCUCACCAAGGCGACGAUGCGUAGCCGACCUGAGAGGGUGAUCGGCCACACUGGGACUGAGACACGGCCCAGACUCCUACGGGAGGCAGCAGUAGGGAAUCUUCCGCAAUGGACGAAAGUCUGACGGAGCAACGCCGCGUGAGCGAUGAAGGCCUUCGGGUCGUAAAGCUCUGUUGUUAGGGAAGAACAAGUACCGGAGUAACUGCCGGUACCUUGACGGUACCUAACCAGAAAGCCACGGCUAACUACGUGCCAGCAGCCGCGGUAAUACGUAGGUGGCAAGCGUUGUCCGGAAUUAUUGGGCGUAAAGCGCGCGCAGGCGGUCCCUUAAGUCUGAUGUGAAAGCCCACGGCUCAACCGUGGAGGGUCAUUGGAAACUGGGGGGCUUGAGUGCAGAAGAGGAAAGCGGAAUUCCACGUGUAGCGGUGAAAUGCGUAGAGAUGUGGAG